UACGGGGGGGGCAAGCGUUGUUCGGAAUUACUGGGCGUAAAGGGCUCGUAGGCGGCCAACUAAGUCGGAUGUGAAAUCCCCAGGCUCAACCUGGGAACUGCAUCCGAUACUGGAUGGCUUGAAUUCGGGAGAGGGAUGCAGAAUUCCAGGUGUAGCGGUGAAAUGCGUAGAUAUCUGGAGGAAUACCGGUGGCGAAGGCGGCAUCCUGGACCGACAUUGACGCUGAUGAGCGAAAAGCUAGGGGAGCAAACGGGG
rnacentral:rRNA from 1 species